rnacentral:rRNA from 1 species
UACGGAGGGUGCAAGCGUUAAUCGGAAUUACUGGGCGUAAAGCGCACGUAGGUGGUUUGUUAAGCUAGCUGUGAAAUCCCCGGGCUCAACCUGGGCACUGCAGUUAGAACUGGCAAGCUAGAGUAGGGUAGAGGGGUGUGGAAUUCCAGGUGUAGCGGUGAAAUGCGUAGAUAUCUGGAGGAACAUCAGUGGCGAAGGCGACACCCUGGACUCAUACUGACACUGAGGUGCGAAAGCGUGGGGGGCAAACAGG